UACAGAGGGUGCAAGCGUUAAUCGGAAUUACUGGGCGUAAAGCGUGCGCAGGCGGUUUUGUAAGUCAGAUGUGAAAUCCCCGGGCUUAACCUGGGAACUGCGUUUGAAACUACAAGGCUAGAGUGUGGCAGAGGGGGGUGGAAUUCCACGUGUAGCAGUGAAAUGCGUAGAGAUGUGGAGGAACACCGAUGGCGAAGGCAGCCCCCUGGGUUAACACUGACGCUCAGGCACGAAAGCGUGGGGAGCAAACAGG
rnacentral:rRNA from 1 species